GAUGAAGAACGUAGCGAAAUGCGUUAAGUAAUGUGAAUUGCAGAAUUCAGUGAAUCAUCGAAUCUUUGAACGCACAUUGCGCCCCUUGGUAUUCCGGGGGGCAUGCCUGUUCGAGCGUCAUUACAACCCUCAAGCUCUGCUUGGUCUUGGGCGUCACCGGUCCCCGGUGUGCCUUAAAAUCAGUGGCGGCGCCAUCUGGCUCUAAGCGUAGUACAUACUCUCGCUACAGACGUCCGGUGGAUGCUGGCCAGCAACCCCCAAUUUAUCAAGGUUGACCUCGGAUCAGGUAGGGAUACCCGCUGAACUUAAGCAUAUCAAUAAGCGGAGGA
rnacentral:misc_RNA from 1 species